rnacentral:rRNA from 1 species
CCUACGGGAGGCAGCAGUGAGGAAUAUUGGUCAAUGGACGAGAGUCUGAACCAGCCAAGUAGCGUGAAGGAUGACUGCCCUAUGGGUUGUAAACUUCUUUUAUAUGGGAAUAAAAUGUUCCACGUGUGGGAUUUUGUAUGUACCAUAUGAAUAAGGAUCGGCUAACUCCGUGCCAGCAGCCACGGUAAUACGGAGGAUCCGAGCUUUAUCCGGAUUUAUUGGGUUUAAAGGGAGCGUAGGUGGAUUGUUAAGUCAGUUGUGAAAGUUUGCGGCUCAACCGUAAAAUUGCAGUUGAAACUGGCAGUCUUGAGUACAGUAGAGGUGGGCGGAAUUCGUGGUGUAGCGGUGAAAUGCUUAGAUAUCACGAAGAACUCCGAUUGCGAAGGCAGUUCACUGGACUGCAACUGACACUGAGGCUCGAAAGUGUGGGUAUCAAACAGGAUUAGAUACCCCAGUAGUC